AGUGAACGCUGGCGGUAGGCCUAACACAUGCAAGUCGAACGGCAGCACAGUAAGAGCUUGCUCUUACGGGUGGCGAGUGGCGGACGGGUGAGGAAUACAUCGGCAUCUACUUUUUCGUGGGGGACAACGUAGGGACACUUACGCUAAUACCGCAUACGACCUACGGGUGAAAGCAGGGGAUCUUCGGACCUUGCGCGAUUGGAUGAGCCGAUGUCGGAUUAGCUAGUUGGCGGGGUAAAGGCCCACCAAGGCGACGAUCCGUAGCUGGCCUGAGAGGAUGAUCAGCCACACUGGAACUGAGACACGGUCCAGACUCCUACGGGAGGCAGCAGUGGGGAAUAUUGGACAAUGGGCGCAAGCCUGAUCCAGCCAUACCGCGUGAGUGAAGAAGGCCUUCGGGUUGUAAAGCCCUUUUAUUAGGAAAGAAAAGCAGCAGGUUAAUACCCCGCUGUUCUGACGGUACCCAAAGAAUAAGCACCGGCUAACUUCGUG
rnacentral:rRNA from 1 species